GACAGAGGGUGCAAACGUUGUUCGGAUUUACUGGGCGUAAAGCGUGUGUAGGCGGCCGCGUAAGUCGGAUGUGAAAGCCCUGGGCUCAACCCAGGAAGUGCACUCGAUACUGCGUGGCUCGAGUACUGGAGAGGUUGGUGGAAUUCUCGGUGUAGAGGUGAAAUUCGUAGAUAUCGAGAGGAACACCGGUGGCGAAGGCGGCCAACUGGACAGAUACUGACGCUGAGACACGAAAGCGUGGGGAGCAAACAGG
rnacentral:rRNA from 1 species